GGGGAGGGGCGGGGCUACCUGAGCCGCUUCGAGCGUUCGCGCCAACGCUCCUACAAGUAGAACCGGGCCGCAGCCUGCUCGGUGGUAGGGUGGGUUGUCUAUGCAGGAGCGCGGCAGGUGGCGCUCGUUUCUGGGAGCGUGCUGAGGGCUGCUGCGCGCGGAGUGUCGAUUCUUAGUAUUGCAAUAUGUAUUGGCAACCAAAUCCAUGUUUUCUGUGAAAGAAUUGCUGUAGCAGAAUGGAGCAGGAGGUGGAAAAAGACUGGGAAUCACUGGAAUGUUGUGUAUGUAAAGUGAAUGUGUGCUGAUAAUGAUUUCUGAGCAUGUUAUUUCUUCAUUCUGUUGCACCUGAGCACGAAGCCUGCUUAACCAGGGCUCUGUUUUUUUUUAGAGUUUGUACACUGUGAGAAUUUUUGUUUGAGAGGAGGCUGGAGAGAAAACUGAAGAUUCUGAAGAUUUCUUUCUUUGGAACUUAACUGAUGUAGUGAUCAAGAGAGAGGUCUGUUUCUUUCUUUUAGGUCUGCUUAAUGAUACUGUGCUUUUGAUCAUGUGGCUCUUAUAUAUUUUUGUGAUAGCCUGAGAUCUGAGAUAAUUAGAGAAUUAUGACAUUGCUCUUAGACCAAGUGGCCUAAUUUGUUAAAGCAAAAUUCACUGUAUUUCUGAAUGUAACUUGGAAUUCUGUGUAGUUUUGAAUGUUGUCAGUGAGUGAAUCAGUUACUGUCUUUGCUGAAAGGAAAUGCAGAGAAAUGCUUUAAAGAUGUAUUUUCUUCUGAGUUGUAUGGGAAAUGAAAAUGCAGUAAUGAGAACUGUAUAUCUUAUUAAAUAAACACUGCAGAUACUAUAUUGAAUGUUUUGCAUAGUAGCUUGAAAAUAAAUAAAAUUGGUCAUCACAAUGAGCAGUCUCUCUGUGUCAUGUAACAAAAUGCUCCAAGCUGUGAAUUGACAGCUUGGAGGAUUCAUAGAGGAAAAAAUGUAACCAGAAGUUAAAACUAUGUGCUUUCAUAAGGGGCUGUUCUAUAAUUUUAUGCAAAUAAAAAUAUUGGUAUCUCUUAA